rnacentral:rRNA from 1 species
UACGGGGGGGGGCAAGCGUUGUUCGGAAUUACUGGGCGUAAAGGGUGCGUAGGCGGCUUUUUAAGUCGGAUGUGAAAACUCUGGGCUCAACCCAGAGACUGCAUCCGAAACUGGAGAGCUUGGGUUCUGGAGGGGAAAGCGGAAUUCCUGGUGUAGCAGUGAAAUGCGUAGAUAUCAGGAGGAACACCGGUGGCGAAGGCGGCUUUCUGGACAGAUACCGACGCUGAGGCACGAAAGCUAGGGGAGCAAACAGG